rnacentral:rRNA from 1 species
UUGCGACCCCAGAUCAGACGGGACUACCCGCUGAGUUUAA